rnacentral:tRNA from 10 species
UUCAUGUGGAUCAAGGCUGGAGGAUGACAAGCUCCUGACUGAUAGAUACAUGGAGACUUCGCUGGUGAUUUAUUGGCUUUCUGCACCUGACGAGAACCACUAGGCCUAUCUGAGGAGGGAAAUAUAUGGGCUUUCCUGACUCCAAGUGGCAGCCCCGGGGCGAGCAUGUGAUGUCAAGCUGGGCAGAGGAAAGCGGAGCUGUGCACCGGCCUGUGUACUGCUUCUUCCUCGGGGUUAGCAGGGGCCUGGAGUGGAUGUUUAGUCUACCGGUCAGACUCCAGGUCUUAUAUCUUGAAACUGUAAGUCCCUGAAUUCACAGACAAUUCAGAGUAAGGAUGGAGGCAAAGAAGAGGACCUUGGGUUUACUGUUCACGAGAUGACCUCAUAAAGGUGUUCAGUGAUGAAGAGGAGUGGCUGAAGAGAUGGCUGUCUAGAGUCAACACAAACCUACCCCAAAGUUUGACCUUUGCCUUAAGUCAGUAACUGAGGAGGGCCACGGUCCUGAGUUCAGUCCAGACCCCAGGAAGAUUCAGAGCCUGCAGUUGUCCUCUGGUUUCUAAAGUAUGUUAUUGGGCUAAAGAUUUCAAGACAUUUAUCCUUCUUUGCUUUCUAUCGCAGCCAUUAAAUGUUUUAGAUAUUUUCUGCCAGAAGGCAGGAAUCAUGAAGAUAACAAAUAUUAAAGACAAAACCAAAUAACUUUUAAUGAGAAGGUCAGUCCGUGGUUUGAGUCUUUGGAAAGAAAUCAAGAACUCUGACUAUACUUGCUAUUUGACCAUUGAUUCUCUAGUGGAAAUGGGCAAAUCUUUUAUACCAGGGCAAAUUUUUCAGUAACGGGCCAGACAGCAAAUAUUUUAGGAAUUGUGGGCCAUACAGUCUCUCUCCCAACUACUUAACUCUUCAGCAUAGCAUAAAAGCAGCCAUAAACAAUACUACAACAAGUAUGGCUGCAUUCCAAUAAAACUUUAUUUACAAAAAUAGGCAGCACGCCAGAUUUGGCCCACAAGCUAUAGCUUUCUGACCCCUGCUUUGCCAAACUCAAUAACAAACAGAGAGGGAGACUCUUUUAAAAAAAUUAUAUUCAUUUGGGAGUAGCAUUGCAAUGGGAAUACGUGUGCCAUAGCAAAUUAUGAGCGUAUUCAAAGAGAUUGGGGCAAGGGGAAGUUUAUAAAGGCAAAACGAAGAGGAUUACAAUUGUUCAAAUCAAUUAUCCUUGGCUACAAGGGUGGCACAAGUCCAAGCUUGAACAGGCAGUUGCUAGACAGACAUCCUUACAGAAGUAUUUUCUGUGUAAGGUUGCAGUGGUCUUUUUGCAAAGCUAUAGUAAAUCACAGGGGUCAGUACAACCGUAGUGCAAUGGAUAAGCCUUGCCCUCGGAAAAUCUUCGUGAUCAUGGUAUCUCCCCUGCCAAAUAAAUAUUGUGACAGUUCUUAUCAGGCAUUCAUGUGUAAGAACUCUCCCUUGAUGGCCUUCCCUGGCUCCAUUUGCCAGGGUUUUAACAUAAAUUACUCCAUUUUGAUUCGGACAACUUUCAUAACUGCUUACCAUCUGUGCCUCUGUGUAUAAAAGUGGACAUACUAAAAUUUUUCCUUAGGGCUACAACUAAACAUCCAGCCUAGCCCUUAGCCAGCACCAAGGAAGAGGCCUGGGGGAUAGAGGAACAAAUAAUGAGACCAAGUCAGGCCAUCCCCCAUGGGGUGAGGCCUGCAGGUAGGUGGGCCCAGUGUGGUGUACCUCUAGCACAGUGCCUGGCACAAAAUUGCAGUUUAUUUUCUGAAUAAAUAACUCUUGGAUCAAUUGGUUGCUCUCUGGGAAUGUGACUUUGCUGUUGAGUUGUGCAGAGUACUCUCUGUCUCCAAGCCAAUCCCAGCUUCAGUAUCUCACCCCACAAUCCACAUUUCCCAGUGUCUGGAGUAACAACAAUGACCUGGGGCUGGGCUCUCAGCAAGUCAAACCCUGCCUCAACAAACCCAAACUGCUUUGGGGACCAAUGUGAUGCAAAUGUGUACUGAAUCCCCUGAAUUCCCCCUGGUGAUCCUGUCCUGUAACAGGCCCUCCCCAUCCCCUCAGGCCAGUGCAUUCAGGAAAUCAGUGACCACAGGAUGGUUUCUCAGCUGGAGGGAAGGUCAGCCUGCAUCUGAGCAUCUUAGAACAUGUUAUUUUGUUCCCACUGGUCAAUCCCGUCCAAGCUGUACACAUAGUGCCUAAGCCACGUUUGUUACUGCAGGCCUGUCUUCGGAAAGGUCACUGAACAGAAGGAGGAGGCACCUUACUCUCUUUUGUUACGUCUUCACCACUUUUGUCUAAAGGGAAGUUUAGCUGGAGGGCUGAGCACGCAGACAGGUUUCUGACUGUGCCACAUAGAUCCCACAUUGCUUCUCUGCCAUGAUUUAUCAUCUGUGACUUGACAUGUUCUGCACACACGGGCAUGUUGUACACAUUGAGACAUGCUUCCUGCAUUCAAAGAUUUUCCCAUAUUGAGGGCAUUUUCCUGGUGCAGAAUUGAAGACUGAAUUGAGGCAUUCAGAUUGACCUCAACAUCUACGGGUCUGGAGGAGGUUUGGGACGUUUCCUUUUCUUCUCUUCAGGGGCCCACUCCUGUUGUAAAGAGCAGCAGCAUUUAUAAUGAGGGCCCAGGAAAUGCGGGGGAGAGGGGAGAGCCUGCUAUCUCUGCAGUGGGUGACUGUUGUUUCCCUGAUCAACAAUGUAUCAUAUCCCAGCCUAAGCCUGCCUUUCUCCUUCCCCCUCCACAUGGGGAGGGGCCGUGGGCUCAGAGCUCACCUGGAAUGCCUCUGGUUGCUGAAGGGCUGGAUGGAGACUCUGAGACAACCUGAUGGAUCAUCUCAUAAACAGAGCCUGCAGGAAGGAAAAGAAAAUUAUGCCAGCAUAAUGCACUUACGAGAAAUAGAUACGUGCGGUGCAGGGAGAAAUGCUUUGAUAUUAAAAUUUUUGUAACUUAAAAAGGCAUGAAAAAUGAUACCGACCACUAACUAAUCAACAUUCCUUUGCGAAUACAGCUUCAGUUCCUAACCAAAAACACAUCCCUGCUAUUGUCUUGUCUGGAUCCAGAUGCAAACAUGAUUAAUUAAGUUUCUGGUGAGGAGUGGGACGAGGGCAGUGGGAACUGAUGGCUUGCUGAGGAUCCUUUUCAUAUACAGGCCUGGGGAGAAUCCCUUAGUCUGGGUGCCUAUUUCCCUCCACAUGUCAGGGCUUACCCCGUGCACUGACAGCCACGGGGGCAGUGAGUAGGCUGCAGCCAGACCCAUGGAGUGAGGCAGUGAGAGGCUGAAAGGAGAGGCUCUACAGACAGUACAGGGAGGCUCUUGGUAUCUCCCAUUGCCACUGCACAGCACAGCACGGCAGAGUAGCAAACGCAUAUGCCAUGUCUUGUUGGGAGACCUGGGCCCUGCUCCAGACUGCUACCAAGUAGUUUGGGACCUUGGAUGAGCUGCCUCAAUUUCUCCAUUUGUGAAAUUGGGAGGUGACAGCGUGCUGGCAGCCCUCGCAGCCCUCGCUCUCGGCCUUGGUGCCUGCCUACUCUGGCCGCCCUUGAGGAGCCCUUCGGCCCACGGCUGCACUGUGGGAGCCCCUUUCUGGGCUGGCCAAGGCUGGAGCCAGCUCCCUCAGCUUGCCGGGAGGUGUGGAGGGAGAAGCGCGGGCAGGAACCAGGGCUGCUCAUGGGGCUUGCCGGCCAGCGCGAGUUCUGGGUGGGCAUGGGCUCAGUGCCUGCGCACUCUGAGCGGCCGGCAGGCCUGCGAACCCCGGGCAGUGAGGGGCUUAGCUCCUGGGCCAGCAGCUGCUGUGCUCAAUUUCUCGCCGGGCCUUAGCUGCCUCCCCGCGGGGCAGGGCUCGGGACCUGCAGCCCACCAUGCCUGAGCCUCCUCCCGCCGUGGGCUCCUGUGUGGCUGGAGCCUCCCCGAGGAGCACCGCCCCCUGCUCCACCGCUCCCAGUCCCUCAACCACCCAAGGGCUGAGGAGUGCGGGCGCAUGGCACGGGACUGGCAGGCAGCUCCACCUGCGGCACCGGUACCGGAUCCACUGGGUGAAGCCAGCUGGGCUCCUGAGUCUGGUGGGGACUUGGAGAACCUUGGUGUAGACACUCUGUAUCUAGCUAAUCUAGUGGGGAUGUGGAGAACUUUUGUGUCUAGCUAAGGGAUUGUAAAUACACCAGUCGGCACUCUGUAUCUAGCUCAAGGUUUGUAAACACACCAAUCAGCACCCUGUGUCUAGCUCAGGGUUUGUGAAUGCACCAAUGGACACUCUGUAUCUGGCUACUCUGAUGGGGACUAGGAGAACCUUUGUGUCUAGCUCAGGGAUUGUAAACGCACCAAUCAGCACCCUGUCAAAACGGACCAUUCAGCUCUCUGUAAAACAGACCAAUCGGCUCUCUGUAAAAUGGACCAAUCAGCAGGAUGUGGGUGGGGCCAGAUAAGAGAAUAAAAGCAGGCUGCCCCAGCCAGCAGGCACAACCCUCUCGCCUCACCUGCCGCAGUGUGGAAGUUUUGUUCUUUGGCUCUUUGCAAAAAAUGUUGCUGCUGUUCACUCAUUGGGUCUACACUACCUUUAUGAGCUGUAACACUCACUGGGAAGGUCUGCAGCUUCACUCCUGAAGCCAGCGAGACCACGAACCCACCGGGAGGAACAAACAAUUCCAGACGCGCCGCCUUAAGAGCUGUAGCAGUCACGGCCGGGCACGGUGGCUCACGCCUGUAAUCCCAGCACUUUGGGAGGCCGAGACGGGCGGAUCACGAGGUCAGGAGAUCGAGACCAUCCUGGCUAACACGGUGAAACCCCGUCUCUACUAAAAAUACAAAAAAAAUUAGCUGGGCAUGGUGGCGCACGCCUGUAGUCCCAGCUACACGGGAGGCUGAGGCAGGAGAAUGGCGUGAACCCGGGAGGCGGAGCUUGCAGUGAGUCGAGAUCGCGCCACUGCACUUCAGCCUGGGCGACAGAGCGAAACUCCGUCUCAAAAAAAAAAAAAAAAAAGAGCUGUAGCAGUCACAGCAAAGGUAUGCAGCUUCACUCCUGAGUCAGCGAGACCAGGAACCCACCACAAGGAAGAAACUCCGAACACAUCCGAACAUCAGAAGGAACAAAUUCUGGACACGCUGCCUUUAAGAACUGUAACACUCAGCGCGAGGGUCCCCUGCUUCAUUCUUGAAGUCAGUGAGACCAAGAACCCACCAAUUCCAGACACAAAAGGAGAGGUUGGAUUAAAUGUUCCUCAAAGUCUUCCAUUUCUGGCUUUUUAUUCCAGUGCCCAAAGUCCUUCACACAAAGCA